rnacentral:rRNA from 1 species
AUGCAAAGAACUUUGAAAAGAGAGUUAAAGAGUACCUGAAAUUGCUGAAAGGGAAGCGAAGGAAACCAGUGUUGGGCUCAGUCAUACUUCUCGUGCCACUUGUGGCAAGGGCGCUGUGUCUGGGCACAUGUCAGGGUCAGUUCAUGAUCGGAGGAGAUGUUGUUUCAACAGGUAGCCCCCUUGUGGGGUUUUUAAUUGAGACUUUUGAUUCUGGUCAGUGCUGAGGCAGUUACAUUUUGUACUUGUGAUGCUGACAAAAUGGUUUUCUUUACCCCGUCUUGAAACACGGACCGAGGAGUCUAACAUAUGUGCGAGUACAGGGGUGACAAACCCCCGUGCGCAAUGAAAGUGACAGUGGUUGGACCCUUUGGGGCACAAUCCGCCGGCCACAAUCCUUCGGGAAAAAGGUCUGAGUGUGAGCACACAUGUUGGGACCCGAAAGAUGGUGAACUAUGCGUGAAUAGGGCGAAGCCAGGGGAAACUCUGGUGGAGGCUCGUAGCGAUUCUGACGUGCAAAUCGAUCGUCAAAUUUGCGUAUAGGGGCGAAAGACUAAUCGAACUAUCUAGUAGCUGGUUCCCUCCGAAAUUUCCCUCAGGAUAGCUGCAAUCGAACGUCAAUUUUAUGA